AACGUAGGGGGCGAGCGUUGUCCGGAAUUAUUGGGCGUAAAGCGCUCGCAGGCGGUCUUUUAAGUCUGAUGUGAAAGCCCACGGCUUAACCGAGGAGGGUCAAUGGAAACUGGAGGACUUGAGUACAGAAGAGGAGAGUGGAAUUCCACGUGUAGCGGUGAAAUGCGUAGAGAUGUGGAGGAACACCAGUGGCGAAGGCGACUCUCUGGUCUGUAACUGACGCUGAGGAGCGAAAGCGUGGGUAGCGAACAGG
rnacentral:rRNA from 1 species